rnacentral:rRNA from 1 species
UGGGGAAUCUUGCGCAAUGGGCGAAAGCCUGACGACGCAACGCCGCGUGGAGGACGAAGAUCUUCGGGUCGUAAACUCCUGUCGAGCGGGAAGAAUGCCUUGCAGAUGAAUACUCUGCGAGGGUGACGGUACCGCUAAAGGAAGCCCCGGCUAACUCCGUGCCAGCAGCCGCGGUAAUACGGGGGGGGCAAGCGUUGUUCGGAAUUACUGGGCGUAAAGGGCUCGUAGGUGGCCAACUAAGUCGGACGUGAAAUCCCCAGGCUCAACUUGGGAACUGCGUCCGAUACUGGAUGGCUUGAAUUCGGGAGAGGGAUGCAGAAUUCCAGGUGUAGCGGUGAAAUGCGUAGAUAUCUGGAGGAAUACCGGUGGCGAAGGCGGCAUCCUGGACCGAGAUUGACACUGAAAAGCGAAAGCCAGGGGAGCAAAC